rnacentral:rRNA from 1 species
UACAGAGGGGGCAAGCGUUGUUCGGAAUUACUGGGCAUAAAGGGGGCGUAGGUGGCUUGGUAAGUCAGUGGUGAAAUCGUCCGGCCCAACCGGACACGUGCCAAUGAUACUGCCGAGCUUGAGUGCGUGAGGGGUAGGGGGAACGAGCAGUGUAGCGGUGAAAUGCGUAGAUAUUGCUCGGAAGGCCAAAGCCGAAGGGACCCUACUGGUACGUAACUGACACUGAGGCACGAAAGCGUGGGGAGCAAACAGG